AGGGUGAAAGAGUGAAGGGCGACCUGCCUUUCCUCUAACACUCCCCCUAGGUAUACCCACAGUAGUGAAAAUAACUCAUAGGGUAUGAAUAAAGUUAUUUUCUAUAAGUUAUUUUCACUACUGUGGGUAUACCUAGGGGGAGUUUUAGAAGAAAGGCAGGUCACCCUUCACUCUUUCACCCUCU